AUUCUAUACAUUCUAAAAAAAAAUUGUCACUAUUCAGUAUAAGAUCUGCUUAAUCAUAUGAAACUAUUUACAUCUUUACUUAUUUCACUAAAGUGCUAGUUUGGAUUGACUCAUACUAAAGGAUAUGAGCAACAAUUACCCAAGUUUUCUACUGAUUUCUUUUUUCUACAUUACUUUGUGUUAUUUAAUCAUAUAAUGUUUACAUUGUUCAUAUGAAAACUAUUUGAAAUACGAUAUAUUUCAAUGAUCUGUCUCCGAUCAUGAACCAUCCCAUCAUGCUUACCUUAAUAGAAUACCAUGGAUGUCACAAAUUUAAUUAAAGUGACAUGUUUAUUAGUGUGUCUGAAUCAAAAUCAAAUUUAUGUGCCUUUGAACCAUUCCCAGAAGUUUAAGCGUUGAAAAUUAUUUCAGUGAGAUAGGUUCUGAAUAUGCAUGAUCUAGUAUUCUAGAUGCCACUAAAUGUUAAGCAAUCAACAAUCAAUCAAUCAAUGUGGCAAUCUUCAUCAAUAACUUUCUAAAUUCCCCUUUACAUGUCAUACUAUCAGAAGACUGCAACAAAAGACAUUAUAUCAUCAUUGAAAGUUGGUAUCUUUGUAUGUACUUUGGGAGGAUCAUAACAGGAACUUUAAUUUUGAGAACAUGGUUUUAAUCAUUUAAAAAGUAAAGUUAAAAAUCAUAGACUUAAGAAAUGGCUUAAAUCAUUUAAUUAGGGCAAUAACAAUCAAUCAUGUUAAAAGAUGGAUAAUAUAAGAUAAGUUGUAUAAUGUAAAUAUUUUUUUUAUGACUAUCUGUAAGUCUUCCUUCGUAAGUGGCUAUUUAUGCCACUAAAAAUCAGUUUGCAGUUAAUUAUUGUAUGUCAAAUUAUUUUUUUUAAUAUUGCAUACAAUUUAUGUGUGUUAAACUUGACACAGUUAAAGUCAUUAUUAGGUCAACAGC
rnacentral:lncRNA from 1 species